GUGCCAGCCGCCGCGGUAAUACGAACUGUGCGAACGUUAUUCGGAAUCACUGGGCUUAAAGGGUGCGUAGGCGGUUAUCUAAGUCAGGUGUGAAAUCUCUCGGCUCAACCGGGAAACUGCGCUUGAAACUGGAUGACUGGAGGGAUGCAGGGGUGUGUGGAACUUCCGGUGGAGCGGUGAAAUGUGUAGAUAUCGGAAGGAACGCCAGCAGCGAAAGCGGCACACUGGGCAUCUACUGACGCUGAGGUACGAAAGCUAGGGGAGUGAACGGGAUUAGAUACCCCGGUAAUCCUAGCCGUAAACACUGAACACUGGGGGAGGGAGGCUUCGGCCUUCUUUCCCGUAACGAAAGCGUUAAGUGUUCCGCCUGGGGAGUAUGGUCGCAAGGCUGAAACUCAAAGGAAUUGACGGGGGCUCACACAAGCGGUGGAUCAUGUGGUUUAAUUCGAUGCAACGCGAAGAACCUUACCCGGGCUCGAAGUGCAGGUAGUAAAGAGAUGAAAGUUGAAUGAACCGUCAAGUCGGUUGCCUGCAGAGGUGCUGCAUGGCUGUCGUCAGCCCGUGCCGGGGAGGGGGUUGGGGUUAAGUCCCCGCAACGAGCGCAACCCCUAUCUUUAGUUGCCACCGAGGUAGUGGUCGGGGCACUCUAAAGAGACUGCCUACGCAAGUAGGAGAAGGAAGGGUGGGGGAAUGGACGUCAGGUUCCUCAUGGCCCCUUAAGGGGGGUAGGGGCUACACACGUCAUACAAUGGUACAUACAGGGCGGCCGCCCACCCCGGGGAGGGGGGAGCUAAUCCCCAGAAAAGUGUUAUCCGUAGGUCCGGGGAUUUGUAGUCUGCCACUCGACUACAUGGAAGGUAGGAUCGCUAGUCAUCGCGGAUCAGCCAUGGUCGCAGGAUGAAAUACCGCUCCGCGGUCUGGCACCUCACCGCCAGUCGAGGGACGUAAUCGAUUCAGCUGCAGGAACUAGUCCUUAAAGUGGAGGAUCAUC
rnacentral:rRNA from 1 species